rnacentral:lncRNA from 1 species
GGAAGACAUCUGUAAUGUGAUUAUUCUAAUUAAGUCUACAGAUUUUCCCUGUGAGAUGGAUCAGUUCUGCAGCUCAACUGUGCUACCGCCAGUUGCCACGUAAUGAUAACCUCCCAGAAAACACUGUAACCUGCUAGCUUCUGACUUUCUGCAGAAAAUUUAUUUUAAAGCAUCCAAUAUGCAAGACUGCACUUUUCAGACAUCCAACAGCAACCUCUGGUUACCAAACCUUUUUAGUUUGACUUCUUGGUCCUGAUGUCUUUUCUGGGUUACACACACAGAGAUAAUAUGAUGCAGUCUAACAUCCACAGUUUAAUGGUACAAUGGCAGUGGGAAUCAUUUUGCUUACCAGAGGAUUCCAGAUGAAAUAAGGAUUCGAGACAGGGUAAAUUAUCCCCAGAAAGUUUUCUGUCCAUUGAUUGAAGAGGAAGUCCAGAAAGCUUGGUGUUUUAACUUAUAGGCAGUUGCUGCUCUAAUGUGUGCCGGAACAUGGUUAACUCCCUCUCCUGCUUCCACUCCCCUCCCAAAGUUCCAGGAAAUCGUUUUGAUGGUGAUACACACAAAGCACAUUUAUAAAAGAAGCCUCUCAGCUCCUAUUCUGAAUAUGUUUUAUGUAUUAAAAUGUGUCAUCUUGAAGUAGAAUUCUGGAAUCUAAUCUCCUCUUUCUUUUGGUUGCCAUCUGGACACCUCAAU